UGUUAGGAUCCCUAUUCUACAGUUGUGCA
rnacentral:piRNA from 1 species